CCCUGACAGUGCGCAUUGUGCCGCUGACUUAACCCAGACAGGAGAUCGCCAUG
rnacentral:ncRNA from 1 species